GUGAACAACUAAGGGCGCGCGGUGGAUGCCUAGGCUCUCGGAGGCGAAGAAGGACGCGAUAAGCCGCGAUAGUCCACGGCGAGGUGCAAGUAACCCUUGACCCGUGGGUUUCCGAAUGGGGCAACCCGGCCGUCUAGAUGACGGUCAUGCAUUAUCAUGCAGGCGAACGCGGGGAACUGAAACAUCUCAUUACCCGCAGGAGAAGAAAACAAAAUGUGAUUCCCCCAGUAGUGGCGAGCGAACGGGGAAGAGCCCAAACCGGUAGCGUUUCGGCGAUACCGGGGUCAUGGGACCACGCCAUUCGAAACAAGAUGAAGUGCAAUUACCUGGAAAGGUAAGCCGCGGAGGGUGAUAGCCCCGUGCACGUCAAUUCUUGUGGAGAUAGUGGAAUCCCGAGUAGGGCGGGACACGAGAAAUCCUGCCUGAAUUCGCCAGGACCUCCUGGCAAGGCUAAAUACUCCCGAGAGACCGAUAGUGAACCAGUACCGCGAGGGAAAGGUGAAAAGUACCCCGAGCAGGGGGGUGAAAUAGACCCUGAACCCGCGCGCCUACAAGCGGUCGGAGCUGCCUUGUGCAGUGACGGCGUGCCUUUUGCAUAAUGAGCCUACGAGUUAGUCGUCACCAGCGAGGUUAAGGGCUUCAGGCCCGUAAGCCGAAGUGAAAGCGAGCCUUAACAGGGCGUCAAGUUGGUGGCGCUAGACGCGAAACCUUGUGAUCUACCCACGAGCAGGUUGAAGUCGCGGUAACACGUGAUGGAGGACCGAACCGGUAAACGUUGAAAAGUUUUCGGAUGACUCGCGGGUAGGGGUGAAAGGCCAAUCAAACUGGGAAAUAGCUCGUACUCUCCGAAAUGCAUUUCGGUGCAGCCUGUGAUGUUCUGUUCCAGAGGUAGAGCUACUGGUUGGACGCGAGGGCUUCACCGCCUAUCAAAUCCGGAUAAACUCCGAAUGCUGGAACACGAAAUCAUGGAGUGAGCCCGCGGGUGCUAAGGUCCGCGGACGAGAGGGAAAGAACCCGGACCACCGGCUAAGGUCCCGGAUGGACAGUUAAGUUGAUCAAACGAGGUGGGAUCGCGGAGACAGCUAGGAUGUUGGCUUGGAAGCAGCCAUUCAUUUAAAGAGUGCGUAACAGCUCACUAGUCGAGCGAUCCCGCGUGGAUAAUACACGGGCAUCAAACUGUCAACCGAAGCCGUGGGGUCAGCGAAAAGCUGACCGGUAGGAGAGCAUUCCUGCCAGCGUUGAAGGUCACCCGCGAGAGUGACUGGAGCGGCAUGAAAAGCAAAUGUAGGCAUAAGUAACGAUAAUGGGGGCGAGAACCCCCCACGCCGCAAGACCAAGGCUUCCCCGGCAAUGUCAAUCAGCCGGGGGUCAGCCGGCCUCUAAGGCUAACCCGAAGGGGGAUGCCGACGAGAAACGGGUUAACAUUCCCGUGCUUCUCGUCACCGUGACGCGGUGACGGGGUGAUGAAUGGACCGCGCGCUGACGGAAUAGCGCGUUGAAGGCCGUACCCUUCGAGGGUGGUAGUCAAGCACGCCACCCGAGGCGAUAGCCGAUAGUACCACGAGACUCCGGUCGAGUGGAUAGCGUCCAGGCAAUUUACCCCCGAGAAAACCCGCUAAACUUCAAGUGACGAGGAACCGUACUGUAAACGGACACACGUGGUCGGGUAGAACAUACCAAGGCGCUCGAGUGAUUCAUGGUCAAGGAACUAGGCAAAAUAGUCCUGUAACUUCGGGAAAAAGGACGCUCUAGUGAUAGAGCCGCAGAGUAAUGGCCCAGGCGACUGUUUACCAAAAACACAUGGCUAUGCCAAAUCGAAAGAUGACGUAUAUGGCCUGACACCUGCCCGGUGCCGGAAGGUUAAGAGGAGAGCUCAUCGGAAACGAGAAGGUUUGAAUUGAAGCCCCGGUAAACGGCGGCCGUAACUAUAACGGUCCUAAGGUAGCGAAAUUCCUUGUCGGGU
rnacentral:rRNA from 1 species